GAAUGUCUUGGGAAGCGAAUUAGAGAAUGUUGAUGAGGAUUAUGAUGAAGGAGGUGAUUGGAGCGAUGAUGAUGAAAAGGAAGAAUCUCCACCACAUUUUCAUGAUGGUGAGAGCAUAAGUUUUCAAGAAAGCAAACCGCAUAGGAGUAGUGUCUCGAAACCUACUGAUGACAAAGUGCUUGUUCCCAUGUUUCCGGACGGUAGGCUGAGGGACAGGUGGUGAAAAAUUUAGUUGUGUUGACUGAUCGAAGCCUUUGCUGCAGAGUAGAAAAGGGACAAUGCUGAGUUUGUUCUUUCGCAUAAUGCUUCAAUCGUAGGUGCAUGCAAGACUAAACUGUCGCUGAAAUAUUGAAACGAGACAAGAAAUUGAACAAAUUGAGAACUUUUGACAUGUCAGGAACCUGUAUCUUUGCUUGUGGGUAGGAGUUGUAUUCUUUUCACAGUGCAAACAAAUUAUGGACUUUUUUUGUUGUCUUUUACAUAUACUAUUGUGGUUCUUCCUUUUAAGGGCUUUUAUGUAGCUUUUUUCUCUUGCAUAACUUUUCAGAUAUUUAGACAGUACUGCCAUGUUUGAUAUUCUAUAUUCUCACCUCAUAUUGCUUUAGGGUAUGUUAAGCUUUGUGUUCAUUAAUUUUUUGUUUUUCACACCGCAGAUGGUAUUUUGUUUUGUGGAUCAGAUACUAUACUGUGCUUGAGAAAAUAGGUGAUCAAUCCUUAAUUCUCUUUCUGCGUGAACCUUAGAAAAUGAGUUAACUUCAUCAAUCAUCUGAUAGUUUCUUUACAAAGAUAACUACACUCAAUAAUGUCAAAAAAGGUUUUCUUCAUUUUAUGAAUCAUGUUAGAUGAAGGAUUUCUUUUUAAAAAAAAGUGCUUUAUCUCCUGCUGUUUGAUCCACUGUGGGCCGAAUUUCAUUCUUACUGCAUCAAAUUCCAGUGAAUUUUUCUUUAGGUAUGAAUGCUGCAAACUAACAUUUCAGAUGACACCAUAUGUAGACAAUAUGAACAUAGUUCAAGCUCGUAUAUGAACUGAAUACUUAUUAAAUGCCGAUGAAUAUUUUCUAAUUCACAGAUUCAUCAGCUUUAUAAACUAUAGUACAAACAAAGUUACACAUGAGGUCUACAAAUUUACUCAAUUUCAGAGUAAAAUUUGCAUGUGAUCAUUUGCGACUAUGAUAUCCUGUAAAAUGAUAUACAGAACAAAAAGCUACAAUAAUUGGAAAUUAAAGAGAGGCACAAAUACAAUGUGUCUAAAAAUCAAACAUAUCUACGGAGGUAGUCGACCCGAACGGGAUGUUUGAGCUUCAUAAGUGCUUUUAGUUCAUGCUUACGGACCAUCUCUCUCGAAAUAUUGAGGUUCCCUGCAAUCUCUCCCAAAGUUCUGUUGCCUUUGCCGUCGAGUCCAUAUCUUUGUCUUAUAACCAGACUUUCUUUAGGUUUAAGUGAAUCUAGCUGCAGAAAAACAUCACUCAGUGAGAGAACUUGCAAGCAUCAAUAUCAAAUUACUCAAAUUCGCAAGCAAAUCAAAUGAACCAUAUAAUGAAAAUUCUGCUAGAUCCUAUUUGAACUAUUUCUUGAGAAGAACAAUGUUUCAGCAAUUUGUUUAUCUUGACAUUUACCACAUCAUCAAGAGCAAGUCGAAGAAGUGCUGCAUGUCGACGUUUAUCGCCACUGAUACCAUCAAUAUCGGUUAUCCCCUUGAUGAACUCUUCUUGUGUCACAGCAUGCCUGGAGUUGAGGGAUAUGACUGGUUUUGAGGCCUUGAUGAUAUCAUUGUAUCUCUCUGGUGAUACUCCUACUCUCCCAAUUAUUUCUUCCUCUGUUGGUGACCUCUCAAGUUCAAAUGACAACUUUAGUUUGGCCUUCUGGAUCUCUUGCCUAAUCUGCAAUGUCCAGUUAAGAGUGAUUAUUAAACCAGGCUCAGGUUCUUAACAUUCUGAAUUACACAAUUAUUCAAGAAUCUCAGCAAUUUAAUGCAUUUUUUUUUUUCUGAAAACAAAAGGGACGAAGAUCAAAUUCUUGCCCCAAAAAAAACAAGUUUCUUAACCAGAAUUAGUUCAAAUACAGAGAAUCAAGAAGGAAAUCAUAAACAUCAGAUGAAAGUAAAGAGGACCUACAAAAUAAUAGAUUGCAGCAACUAAAAUAACCUUGAGGAUGAUGAUAACUAGUUGAUCACAAAAUUUUAUGAUGAAAAGGGGGAAAGCAGCAGGAAAAACCCCAAAAAUGGCAAACUUAUCUUUUAAUGUUAAAUAGAAAAGCCAAGAUAAUUUUUUUCUCCAAUUUACGUAGUUUGUCCCUGACACUCAUCUAACUAAUGAUUUCCAUAUAUUACACUAAUACAUCAAUCACAACGCCGACAGUGAAAUUAUUACACACAACUCCAAUCAGCUCUAAUAGGCUAUCCUUAGUAUGCAGCAUAGAUUGAAAACCCAAAUACUCAAACACAGAAGUUGCCUAUAAGAAUCGUAGAAUCUCUUUUCUUUUCUUUUUUUCUAAGAGAUGAAGAAUCUUGAAAUUUUCUGUGUUUAUUCUUAGAAAGUAAGAAGGAAGCUCAUACCGACUCGAUUCCAAAGGGAACCUUGGUGAAGCUUGAGAGCGUCAUCGACCGUAUUAUGGAAUGACGGAUCCAGAAGAGGCCAUAUGUGGAUAGACGGAAGCCGCGCUUCUGUUCAAAUCGAUCGAUGGCUGUUAUCAGACCCUUUACACCGGCUUGGCAGAGGUCUUGGAACUUCUGGCCACUUGCGAUCUCUGGAAAGUAUUUGUUGAUGACAAACAACACUAACCGAAGAUUAUGCUGCAAAAGGUCCGAUAGAACAUAAUCGGUCUUCAACUCGUGGCAAUUAAAUAGAUUAACUUAAUUUGAAAAAUAAAAGGAAGCAUCAUGCUGAGAAAAUUAACUUUGGCGUAUGUAUAUUCAAAGCACAUUAAUGAGCAACAAUAGAAAUGUAAACUAUCAAAAAGCUUUAAACUAAAAUUACACAUUGUUCUAGCUAAAAAAGUUAUAUUGAACUAUGUAUGUAAUAAUUUAAACAGCAAAAUAAAUGCGUAUAACUUGAAAAUUGAUAGUUAGAAAUGAACUAGUUACAGAUACCUUUAUUAGCUUGUUUCUUGCGGCCCGACCAACCUCUACAUGUUGUCUCAACCGCGAAACCCUCAUGUUCAUUGCCGCUGCCAUUUCACUGUCAGUCGGCUCCCUGAGCAGAUCUUUGUGCAAGCUCUCCUUCAUCUCGUAAAUCACCUAUGUUUUAACGGUAAAAGAAAAGAUCAAACAGUAAAUAAUUUGCAAAUAAGCAGUUCAAAGUAGUUUUUCAGAUUGCGAGAUUGUCAAAUGAAGCUAUAAACUACUUAAGGGUGAUCUCAUCAUCAACAAAAAGCAACCAUUUUGGUUUUAGUUUUCACCAACACAAUUCUGAAGCCUAGUAGAUGUAUUAAAGCUAUUAUUGUUCAUUUUGCGUAACAUGAUAUCAGAACCAGUAGUACUUAGCACCAUUUGUUCCCGACGACAUUCAUCAUCUAAUCGAUUAUAUUCAUAUCCUUUGCCUCCCCUAUCAAUGCGAACACGUAAGCAGAGAUGUUAACACUGUUCGUGCUUCGUCUCGUACAAUUCUCAACCAAAAAGCAAAGGAGGAAGAUAAAAAAUAAGAACGAGGAGGCUCACCUUCAUCGGCUGCAUCAGCUCGAACAGCCUCGAAUGCUCCGCCGAACCGAGCACCGGCGGUAUCCUCAUCCUCCUCCAGUCCAAGCACGCCAAAUCCAUCGACGCCGAGUUGUCCCUCACCAGCUCCUCCACAUCCCCACCGUGCUCCCUCCUUUCACCCUCCCCCUUCCCCCUCCUCAGCGCCACCCUCUUCUCAAGGCUCAACCUUUUCGCCCUCCUCCGCCUACUCCUCACUACGCCCGCGUCCCCGUCGCCCCCGCCUAAGCGCUCCUCGUCGGAGACCUCGCCGGGGCUCAGCUUGUAGAUGUUCUCGAGCGCCGCGGCCAACUCGUCGUAGUCCAACUCCGGGGCGCAGGGAGGAGCAGGAGCAGGAGCGGCGCGGGGGGGGGCGUUUGCUCUGGUCGGGGCCGGGGAAACCAGCGUCGAACACCUGGUGGGCCGGUUCGAGCCGAGGGCCAGGAAGAAGAUGAGCGGCCGCCGCAGCGGCGGNUGAGCGGCGGGAGGAGGAGGCUGCGGCGCCGAGCGGUGCCGGGGGAGCCGCGGCGGCCGCUCCCAUGCCCCUGCGCGCGCGCGCGAAUCUGGGAGCAGAGGGGAUUGCGGUGGACGGUGGGGAUCGCGUGGCCGCCGCGGGUUCCGACGUUGAGAGCUCGUGUAACAGUAGAGGGGGUGGAACUGUGGAACUGUGGAAGAUCGUAAGCGGGUGGUAAAUGGCUACCACAAGCUCGUCGUGGGGCCCCAAUGGGAUCGGACGGUUGAGAUGUGCUUUUAAAAGGAUGGAUCGAACGGCCGAGGAUUUACACGACGUGGGCAUCGCGGGGAAGAGAGAGGCGGGUGGGGGGAGAGAUAUAUAUUAUAUUUAUAUUUUAGGGGGAGAAAAGGUAACCCGUGGAUGGCGUUGUUGGCACGUGGAUGACUCUGAUUCGUCGACCGAUAUUUCUGGGAUCCACGUGUGGGGCCCGUUACACUUACAGGUGGAUGAUAAAAUUGUGUGUUCUCCGCGCGACGCUUUCUUUAUGGCUUUUUGUGAGGCUGACAUGUGGGGCCUGAGAAUAUAAGAUUGGGUUAUUUAUAUAUACACCCGGCGUAAUCAUCUGUUUACACUCUUUUUAAUAUUAAGUAUAGUUUGUUUAAAAAAUAUUCUACUUUCAGAAGGUUAAUAACACAAUUUUCUAAAUUUUGAUAGAUUCAUCAAUAAUUCAAAAUUUUUGAAAUAUUUUCUUAAGUGUCGUCCACAGCCCAUGGGAGAGGAUAAGAAAAUCACGAGUAGCUUAAUAUCAUUUACACCCCGGAUUUUUUUUUUUUUUUCAGAAAGAGAAAUGCGGCAAAAGAGUGAUAUAAUUAAUGUGGGAGCAAUAAAGAGGAUCUAAAGUACAACCUGUAACAUUCACAAAGGAAUCUAUGAAAUAGACAAAGAAUCAAAUCGAACCAAGUAUUAGAAGUGGAGUAGUACUCUGUACGCAACAGGUAAAUAGACCACGGUGAGAGAUGAGAUUGUACAAGGGUUGAUCCUUAUUCCUUAGGCCACUGUUUGAUUCGGGGUUAAGUAAAAAUUUAUUAUUUUAGGAAUAGAGUUAAAUUCAGGAUUAAGAUAAGGUUAGAGUAAUUUUGUGUUUGGUUGAGAAUUUGGUUUAGUCCAGGUAAAGAUAAAAUAGUGUUUGGUUGGAAUAGGUGGGAUAAAAAGGAUAAUGGAUAAAAUAGUAUUUUAUUUGGUUGGAGUAGUGGGGUGGGGUGGGGUUAGCUAAUCCCACCCAAAUGGGCUAUUCCGGAAUAGCCCAUUUGGGAUGAGGUUAGUUAACCCCACCCUCCAAAUUAGGUGUUUGGAAAUAACUUCGGGGUUAAGGGGUUAUUCCACUCCUUAACCCUGAAUCAAACGCGUGCUUGGAGUGUAAAACAAACCGAGUUGCCACCAGUCCAGUUCGGUCCUGUCCGGUCCGGCCCGGCUCAGCUCCUAACAAGCCUAUGGCCCGACACGACAUUGCUCAUGCCCUAAUGUGCGGUCUGUACUGUCCCGUGCCGAGUCUUGCAGAUCUACGACCCCCGCAUGGCACGACCCAUCUGAGCCGUGCCUAAUGGGCCGACUUAUCUUGGCCCAGUAGAUUUUCCUUUUAUAUUUUGUAUUUUUUGUAAAUAUAAUUAAAGUUAUUAUAUAUAUAUAUAUAUAUAUAUAUAUAUAUAUANAUAUAUAUAUAUAUAUAUAUAUAUAUAUAUAUAUAUAUAUAUAUAUAUAUAUAUUAAAGUUUAAAAUAAAUGGUUAUAUAUUUUACAAGUAAUGUUAAAUAAAUUAAGUGUAAAAUAAAAUUUUUUCUUUCAGUUAACUCUCCGACUUUCGACUUUUGGUAUCCUAAUGGUCUCGUCCAUAUCUGAUUCAUCCUUCAAAACCAUAUCACAUCCUAAUGAUCCAGGAAGCAAUUCUGAUUCAUCCUUAAUUAGGAACCAUAUUACAUCCUAAUAAUCAAUGACGCAAUCCUGGACGUGAGGAAUUACUGAUUUAUGGAUUGGAUUUCACUUGACUUAUCAAUUCUAGUGGCUUUUGCUAUUAUGACCUUCCCAACCACGGAGAACAAGCUAGCUCUCGAUUCAAGUGGCAUUAGAGUGGAUUCGGUGUAAAAGAGAUAGAUCAAUUCAAGCAUGAGAUAAUGACAUUUUUUGGCUUCUCCAUAAUAUUGAAAAAGAAAAAAAUUUUAAAUACCAUCCUUGUAAUUUUGCACUUUCUCACUUUGGUGCUUUAUUAUUUAAAGUGUAUUAAUUUAGUACCCAAUGAUUUUAUCUCUCUUUUUAUUAUUCGUUUUAUUAAUUUUUUUAGUAAAGUUAAAACUAAAGUGUAUUAAAGUGAAUAUUGGAUAAACCUAAAUGGGAUAUAUAAAACUUUUUGUAUAUAAUUUAACGAAAUAUUAACGAAGGGGCUAACGAAAAGUGAAAAAUAAAAUCACAUGACACUAACUUGAUACAUUUUAGACCACAGGAUACUCAAGUGGAAAAAUGUGAAAUUAUAGGAAUAAUAUUUAAAGUUUACUCUUAAAAAAAUGCAAUGCCCUCUCUAUAAGAAGUUUAAGUUGCGCAAAUAUUAAAAAAAUCACUAACUAGAUUGUGAAUUUUGGUAAUUAGAAAUGUAACUAAUCCUUGGCAGCAUGAUUCAUAGAGAAAUAGGCAUAGAAGUAGGGGUGUCAAACGGGCCGGGCGGCUCGCAGGCUGCCCCGCUCCGCACUAGAGCGGACCGAGCCAGGCAUGACACGAGCACUGUAGCAUUCGUGUCGGACUGGGCCGGCCAGUUAAAUCGGGUUGUGCUGCGCCUUGGUCUCACGGUGCGGUGGCCCGGCACGACAUGGGCCUAGGCCGUGCUGAGCCUGAGGGGAUGCCACGGCCCGGCCUGGCACGGCACAGCCAGGCCCGUGUGGGAAGUGCCUCCCGAGCUGGACGCAGGCAAACAACCCAACUCCCAAAGCCCCCUUGGGAGAUCGGCCUAUUGAACUAAAAUGUCCUUCCCAACUGUCAAAAAUUUGACCGUUGGGAGGGUAUUAUGGUCCACAAAAUUUAAAAUUUUAAAAUAAUUUAAAAUUUUAAUAUUUUUAUAAAUGUAUUUCAAAAUUUUAAAUUAUUUUACUUAUAUAUUAUUUUUUUUAAAAAAAUAAUAUUUUUAUUUUUAUUUUUUAAAAAUUUUAAAUAUUUUUAAAUAAAAUUAAUAAAAUAAAAAAAGGCUGGCUCGAAGCCCGGCCCGGCCCGUACAAUCCGGGCCGAAGUGCCGUGCUCGGCUGGGGUCUAAAAACUUUGGCUCGGCACGGCACGGCACGGCACGACCCGACUUUGGGACCGGGCUGUGCCGGACUGGCCUUCGGCCCGUUUUGGGCCGGGUAAAUGUGGGCCGUGUCCCGGCAAGGCUUACAGUACAUCUCUAAGUGCACCAAAUGAAACAUCGUUUUUGAAUCUACAUACAGUAAAAACUGCAAUACAGACUUGCUCCCUUGUGUAAUCGAGUAAUCUUUAACUAGGAUUAAUUUGAUCAUACCAAUUUAUAGGAUAAUAUAAAAAUAAAAAAAUAUCUAUUAAAAUUUUGGAUUAGUUGCAUACAAUUCUGUGUAAAUAUAUCGAAUAGCAAAUAUAUCCUUACAAAGUUCAACUUUUAUUUUUAUCUCUACAAAAAUCUUGCCGUUUUCAAAUAUAUCCCUGCUGUUAGGACCCGUUAGAAAAAAAUAAUUAACUAUGAGAAAAAUACGUAACCAUGGUUAGUGAAUCAGUUAAAUUGAUAUUUUUAUUGUUGGGAAUCCAGUACUCGCCCCGGUACCGGAUCUUGUGAAUCCGCAACCCGCUCUGAUACCGACUGCUGUGGAUUCGGUACCGAUUGUUGGGAUUCCGCAACGGAAGCGUCGAAUCGGGUUUUUACCAUAAACCCGUCUCCUCAGCAGAUGCCGAUACAAUCAUAAAAGAGAAAAAUAUGCAGGUAAAAUAAGAUUCAUUAAAUAAGAGAAGAUUACACCUGACUCCUCUUCUGCACAGAGUAGCUACAACCCGAGCCCUCUCUCUGAAUCUCUCCUACCCUUCUCUCGUCUUCUAUACUCCCAGAAGACAUCUCUUUCAUCCUGUGCAUCCGUGCACAAGGUAUACCAAUGACCCACGGCUACGAAAGCCGCACACGUCCUCUUGCACCCAUGCACUAGGUGCAACCAAAAUCAUGACCAUAUUGGUCAUGCCAUAUGGGUGUGGCUAAUCCAUACCACCACCACCCUUCUCUCUUUUUUUCUCUCUCUGGUACGGCACCCAAGAGGCCUUUUCUCUCUUUCCCGUACUCACCCUCAAAAGCAAACCCAUAAAGAGCUAUUUAUAAGGCUCCACUAAAACGCACCUCAAUCCUAAUAUAUUUAGGAUUUCUACUCCAAUUAAUAUCUAAAUCUAUCUUAAUUAAUCUCUAAUAGAUUUAAAUAUUAAUCCUAAUCUAGUUAGGUUUAUCCUCUAAUUAAUAUUUAAAUCUUAAUUUAUCUGAAACAGAUUUAAAUAUUAAUUCUAAUCCAAAUAGGAUUCAAUUACAAAUCUAACCAAAUCCUAACAUUUAUCUCUUAUAUUAUUAGGUAAAAUACUUUUUUGAGAGGAUAUUUCUGAAUAAUUCUAACGAUUAGGACUUUUAAUUUAGAGGGAUAUAUUUUUAAGGACAAAAAUGUCAUUUUAUUUAAUUACUGUGAAAAAAUAAAUAGUAUUUUAACGGUAAGAAAUCAGAGAGGCAAAUACGAAUAUCACAUUGCAGGAAGGAAAAUAAAAAAUUAAAUUUUAUAAAAAUAUAUUUGUUAUUCAAUAUAUUUAUAAAAAACUAUAUGCAAUUAAUUCUAAUUUUUUAAAAAAGCUUCUAUAUAUAAAUUAUGUAUUUAUUAAUUUAUUGCUGUGUUUGGUACAAAAUUGCUUUCAUCGGCUAGGGCCGCUAUGCUGUCACCAGAGCUUUUUGUUACAUUAUUGAGUGACAAAGAAACUAUUUUGUUUUCAUUCCAAAAUGGUAUUUUUAUUAUUGAUAAUAAAACAUGCAGUGAUAAUUAUUUUGAUCAUUCUAGUAACGUAUUUUGUAAUAAUUACACCAUAUAUACGAACUUAUACUAAUGAUAUUCUCGGUGUAGUUAUUGCACGUACCUGAUGGAUCGUAUGUUGCUCUCUUAAAUUUAAAUUAUAAAGAUUUGAAAAUUGGAAUUUGAAACUUUACAUAUAAAUAAAGUUUUUUAUAAGUAAGUUGGGCUUUAUAUUUAGAUUGGACUAAAAUUUAAAUAAUAAGAAUUUAUAUUUUAUGUAUUUAAUUACUUAUAUAUAUAAAUAUAAAAUUAUAUAAAUUAUAUAAAUAUAAAAUAAAUGUAUCUAGUUGUUAUCGAGCCGAACAUGAACGAGCUGAUACCAGUUCGUGCUCGACUCGUUUAUUAAAUGAGCUGAAAAUUUCAGAUCGUAUUCGGCUCAUGUUACUAAACAAAUAAUUCAAUCUCGUGUUCAUUUAGAAUCGAGCACGAAAUGGCUCGCGAACGAGCUGAAUUGCUACCCCGACUUAAAAAAAAAUGAUUUAUUAAACUAUGUGAUAAAAUUUUAAAAAUAUAAUCGUCAAAAUUAAAAUUUCAUAUAUGCCCGCUUGCAAAAGAUUUAAAAGUUUUUAGGAGUUCUCUCUACUUUUUUUUUCCAAUUUUUUUUUAUUCUAUUUCGUGUAGUAUAAUUGAUGUAGAUACAUCAACAUACGCAAAGCAUGCAACAUAAGUUUUAUCUUUUACAUAGAAAGUAUCUGCGCUGAUUAUUUUACAUAAUUUUCAUUUUUAGUAGACAAAAAUGCGUGUACCCAUUUUAGAUGUUAUGAUCAUGACAAAGAUUAGAGUUCCCCUUCUUUUAGACCAUUUUCUUAAGUAUUGCUCCGAAUUUAAUUAUGAACUCCUCAGAUUUUUUUUUUCUUCUUUUUUGAGAGAUAGGUAGCACGUUAUCCACUUCGUUUAUUUCAUUUAGAAAUAAAUUUAGUUAGAAGAAUGAAUCAACUAUGAUUCAAACUUGAAUCUCGAAUACCAACCAUCAAAUUUUUUGCCACUUGCUCUAUAGAUGGUACGGUAACUCCUGACAACUUGUUGAAACAAACAGUUUGCCAUUUGUUUCUACAUAAAUUACGGAGGAAGCACUAAACACAAACUGCAUAGCUUUACAAUGUGGUUUCCUAACUAUUCUCUUUGAAUAGAUUUAUUUAAAAAAAAAAAAACAAAACUAUCUCUACACUCUAGAUUUAGUGCGCUCUCUUUUACCUACGAUCUAACGAUUUAAAAAUCUCUUUCAAGAUUUUUAUAUUAAUAAAACAAUUGUUGAAAUUAAUGUGAAAUUAUUAAAAUUUGAAUGAGUAGAAUGUAAAAUUUAAACUCUAAUUUUGGAUGUACAAGUAUUUACUAUAAACCAAAAAAAAAAAAAAGAAAAAGAAAAGAAAAGAAAAGUGACCGAUGUACUAACUACUAACUCUUCAAGUACAAAAGUGCAAUUCUUACUUUCUUCUUCUUUGCAAAUAGCCCCAUAUAUAGUUUCUCCUCCUCGCGUCUCAUUUGAGGACGCACGGAGCCAUGAACAGGGCGAAUGCGAAGCUCGGUUGUGCCCUCGCCAUGGUUUUGGGCUCUGCGCUCCUCGUCGCCUUCUCCCACUCCGACGCUUCCGAAGCCGAGAUCGUGAGAUCCGUAGCUGGGAACAAGUUGAAGAGAGGUGCAUGCGCCAUUACCUAUUUACCUUCGUUUAAUUUGUGUUUUUUUUUUUCCUUCUUUUUUUUUUUUUUUUUUUUUUUAGAAAGGGCGAUUCGAUUUUUCUUCUUAAUGUGGUUUAGUUUAUUUUAUGUUGUUGCAUUUUUAUUCUUCAAUGUGAAAAUUUUAAAUGUNUUUUUUUUAGAAAGGGCGAUUCGAUUUUUCUUCUUAAUGUGGUUUAGUUUAUUUUAUGUUGUUGCAUUUUUAUUCUUCAAUGUGAAAAUUUUAAAUGUCAUACUCUAUGCAAAUUAACGAAGUUACAACUUCACUUACCUUACAUUCAUUAUAAAUCUCUAUAACCUAUAUAUAAUAUUGUUGAACCUACAUUAAAAAAGAAUUAAUUUGCUAUACUAUUUUAUAGUAAAUUUUUUUAGAUAAAGAUAGAAAUAAACAUUAUAAAAUAAUUAAGUGUAUUUUUUAAAACUAUAAAAUGAUAGAGUAAAAAUAAGGUGAACUAUUUGCAGGCAAAUUAAUCUUUAAAAGAAGCUUAGACCUGAUUUGGCAUCAUUACCGUUAUAUAUUUUAAAACAAUAAUUAUAUAAAAUUUGAUACACCGGUAAAAACAUUACAGGUUAAUUAUUCCGGCCAAAUAAUAAGUAAUAGCUUUGUAAAAGGGGUAUUAGGCAAUUUUUUUUUUUUUUUUUUUGAGAGAUAAGUAGUAUGCUACCGUUUCGUUUAUUUUGUUUAGAAAUAAAUUUAGCUGGAAAUGUGAAUCAACUAGGAUUCGAAUUUGGGUCUCAGAUAUUAACCACCAAACUCUUUGCCACUUGCUUUAGAGACGACCGAUAGGCAAAUUUUUAUUUAUCUCUCUUUUAACAUGUUCUGCAAUCGUAUGAAACGUGAUGCAGAGCAAUGCGAUCUCUUCGCCGGGGAAUGGCUCCCGAACCCUUUCGGGCCGGCUUACACGAAUGCGAGUUGCAAAUUGAUCGAAUUUACUCGAGAUUGUUUGACAAACGGGCGACCCGAUACAGGUUACCUCUACUGGAGGUGGAAACCAUUUGGUUGUGAAUUACCCAAAUUUGAUGCAGGGAAAUUCUUGGAUUUAAUGCGAAAUAAAGCUUGGGCGUUUAUAGGUGAUUCGCUUCUUCAGAAUCAAAGAGGGUCACUGCUUUGCCUUCUCUCUAAGGUGCUGCAUUAAUUUCUCGUAUAUCCUAUCUUAAAUCUUUAAACUUUAUACUAUAUUUACAUCCUCGCUCGCAUUAUUUAAGAAAAAAAUCAGAUGAUACUAACUAAACUUAUAUAUGCAUCUUUUUUUUUCCCAUCUUUUUGGACGCUAAUGCACAUCAUCAUGCACAAUUUAUAGUGCUAGUUUGUAAUAGGGGAGAGUAUGCAGAGUCUUAUAUGAGAUUGACGUACAUAUUAGUAUUAGUAUUAAUAAUUAAACUUAAAUAUUUAAAAACCGAUUGCUUAGGCCGAAUAAAUUGUUAUUUACUCUAGUAUGGUAGGUUGAUACGUACGCAUUGUUAAUUUUAAUCUGAGUCUCUACUUCCACUUUAAUUUUAAAACUUUUUUCUCAAAUUCUGUGUAGUUUCGUACCUUUUUUUUUCUUCUGCUUAACUAAUAAUUAGUCCAAACCUUGAAACCUUUUACUGUGACCCAACGCUUCACAAGAGUUACUUAGGGCCCGUUUGGAUACCUCUAAAAAUGUAGCAUAGUUAAACUAUACUACGCUAGUAGGAAAAUAAUCCUAUAAAGCGUUUGGAAGAAAAAAAAAAUGACGUAAUUUUUAGAGUAUAGUUAUACUAUACUCCAAAAAAUGGAGUAAACUUACAAUCCACUUUAACCAAAGGAAAAAAAUUUCACCAUUUUGGGCUCCCAAAGAUGUAUCAAUUUUUAAAUUUUAAAUUUCAACAUAAAAUUUUAGAUUUCAAAUUUUAAAAUUUUAAAAUUCAAAUUUAAUUUUGAUUUUAAAUUUUAAAUUUUAAAUUUCAAAUUUCAAAUUUCAAAAACUUCAAAUUUUAAAUUUUAAAUUUCAAAUUUCAAAAACUUCAAAUUUCAAAUUUCAAUUUUUAAUUUUAAAAUUUCAAAUUUCAAAUUUUAAAUUUCAAAAAGUUCAAAUUUUAAAUUUUAAUUUUCAAAUUUCAAAUUUCAACUUUCAACUUUCAAAUUUCAAAUUUCAAAUUUCAAAUUUCAAAAAGUUCAAAAUUCAAAAUUCAAAUUUCAAAAUUCAAAUUUCAAAAUUCAAAUUUCAACUUUCAAAUUUCAAAUUUCAAAAAGUUCAAAUUUCAAAUUUCAAAUUUCAAAUUUUAAUUUUAUUUUUAAUUUUUAAUUUUCAAUCUUCAAAAUUUAAAUUUAAACUUAAAUUUAAAAUUUUAAAUUUAUAAAUAUGUAAAUUUAUAAAUUAUUAAAUUUGAAAUUUAAAAUUUUAAUUAUAGAUUUUUUAAAUUUCAAAAUUUAAAGUUUAAAUGGUAUACUUUAAGUUUUAAAUUUUAAAGUUUCAAAUUUCAAAUUUGAAAUUUCAAAUUCCAAAUUUCAAAUUUCAAAUUUAAAACAUAAAAUCUAAUUUACUUUUUAAAUUUUAAAUUUUAAAUUUUAAUUUUAUAUUUUGAAUUUUUAUGUUUAAUUUUUAAAAUUUUAUUUUUAAAUUUUGAAUUUUGAAUUUUGAAUUUUGAGUUUUGAAUUUUGAAUUAUAAAAUUUUAGAAAUUUAAUUGUUAUAAAUACUGUGGAAUUGUAUGAUAUGUAUCCAAACAGCUUAAAAAUGAGGCUGUGGAAUUUUUUUGUAGUUACAGGAUUCCGUAUUUCAUUUAGACCAAAACCAUAGAAUAAAAAUUUCAUGGAGUUUUUUAACUAUGCAUCCAAACAGGGCCUUAGCCUUUUCUACUAGCUAAUAAUAGACUUUUUUAAAAUACUAGUGGCCCAAUUUGUCUAUUAAAAUUAUAUGAAAAUAUUGAAUAGAAAAGCCUAAUGAACUCCUCGGAGAGUGAGCAAAAUUGCAGGCGAAAAUUUAUUUUGUCAGAACAUGCACGUUCCCUAGGAAUAUAAAAAUUCCAGAUCCAUCAAAUUGUUUUUCCCUAUGCUUUUUGGAACUCUACCCCAUUACCUAAAAUCUUAAUUAGCAUAUAGAUAGGGGCGACCGUGGGCCGGGCCGUGUAAGUCAGGAUCGAGCCGUUGCCGGGCCCAGCACGGCCCAGCAUGCCCGGGCCAGGCAAGGUCAUGCCAUGGGCCGGCUGGGCGCGGCCGAGCACGGCCCUAAAUCCAUCUUCUCUUAUAUGAAAUCUAUGUCUCUUUAUGCGUGCUUAGGUCAUCUUUUUUGUUUGGGCAGGUAACAUGAUUUAUCUGAUCUUCAUUCUGCACAUGAUCAGCGAGCGUUUACUAAUUCUCUUGCAUACAUUGAUCUCCAGGUGGAAGAAGCUGUAGAAAUUUAUCGCGAAGCGUUUGCAUUUACAAUCUGGUACUUUCCUUCUUACAACUUCACCGUCACAGAUAUAUGCGCUCCUUUUCUGCUCAAGGCGGAAAACGAAGCAACGGAUCACACCAUGCUGCACCUCGACGCGCUCGACGCGAAAUGGACUAACAAUUACCAUAAAUACGACUACAUUGUGAUUUCCGGCGGAAUGUGGUUCUGGAGAACAGCCACAUUCCUGGAGAACAAUGCGAUUGUGGGGUGCCACAACUGCGCUGCUGCAGGACAGAACGCGACCGAAUACGGGGGCGACUUCUCGUACCGAAAAGCCCUCCGGUUGGCCUUCAGCUUCAUGCUCAGCUCCGACCACAAGCCGCUCGUUCUCUUCCGGACGUGGAACACGGAACACUAUGAGUUCGGCGGCGACGGCAUGCUGGUCUGCAACCGCACCGUGCCGUACAGAGCCGGAGAGUACGACGGGCGCCCGACGGAUCAUCUAAUGCGGGGUGUGGAGGUCGAGGAGUUCCGCAGGGCCGCCGCGAGGAGCGGGGCCCGGAUUCGGCUCGUCGACACGUUCCGGCUCUCGGUUUUGAGGCCGGACGCGCAUAUGGGACUGUACUGGUUGGUCGACCGCGACCCGGGCGACAAGACUAUGAAUGAUUGCACGCAUUGGUGCUUGCCUGGGGCCAUAGAUACUUGGAAUGAUAUAGCUAUGGAGAUUUUGAUGCGCGAAGGAGAGUUCAGGUAUUCGUCAUGAAUUGUCGAUCUCGUCGUUUGUGUUUUAGAAAAAUGUUUUACCUAAUUUUAUGCGCGCGCCCAAAUGCCGUGAGUUUAACAGUGAUUGCUCUGUUUUUCAAUAAAUAUUAGCUGUGCUGUUGUUUCGAUUUAUAACUGAUACGUUUGAUGAAAAAAAUCUCUCUCCAGGCUCUCUCUCAUGUUUUCUUCUUAGCUAGAAUUUUUUUUAGAAUGAAGCUCCAAAUCAAAUAACAAGGAUUACAAGGAUUUAAAAUCGUAAAAUUUCAAUUCUAUUUGGAAAUGAUUUUCACCGUCCAUCCGAAUUUUCGUUUUAUUUUUAGCGGUCGAUCUCCUAUUAAAGCCCUCUUUAAAAAAUUCCAAACCAUCCUUAAUCUUAGAGUAUAAAAUCAAAUCAAACUUGGGCCGAAUCCAGUUUAACUUAUUCGCCGUGUCUUAUAGUACGAGUACUAAAACAGGAGUUUUGAAACGGGCAAAUAUUGUAUGGGCAUCGUCAUCAGUUUGGGGACGAUGCCGAUGGGCGCCGCGUGGCCUGUCACCCUCCAUUGCUCUCCAUCAUCUUCUCUCUCUCUCUCUCUCUCUCUCUAAAAAAUUCAGCUGGCAAAGUUUUUUUUCUUUUUAUCCCAUCCUACUUCACUACUCCAACCAAACAAAACACUAUUUUAUCCAUUAUGCUUCUUAUUCCACUUACUCCAACCAAAUAUUAUUUUAUUUAUAUCUGGACUAAACCCAAUUCUCAACUAAAUACAAAAUUAUUCUAACCCCAUAUUAAUCCUGAAUUUAACUCUAUUCCUAAAAUAACAGAUUUUUAUUUAAUUCCGAACCAAACGAUGGGUUAGAGUAUAAAAUCAAAUCAAGCUUGGCCCGAAUCUAGUUUAACUUAUUUGUCAUGUUAGUACGAGUACUAAAACAGGAGUUUUGAAAUGGGCAAAUAUUGUAUGGGCAUCGUCAUCAGUUUGGGGACGAUGCCGAUGGGCGCCGCGUGGCCCGUCACCCUCCAUACCUCUCCAUCGCCUUUUUUUUUUUUUUUUUUUUUUUUUUUUUUCUCUCUCUCUCUCUCUUUAAAAAAAAUCAGCCGGCAAAAUUUUUUUCCUUUUUUUUCCCGUUUUCGGCCAUGUGAUGAGCACGCCUGGGCCACGUGGUGCCCAUCGGUAUCGUCCCCAAACAGAUAGUUUAGAGACGAAGCCAAUACAAAUUUGGCCCUUCCGAACUUCAUAAGCUCUGGCAUAUGACAUGUACUGGUGGUACUCACAAAAAAGUAUCAGUACUCCUCCAGCUGACAUCGUCUCCAAACUGAUAGUUUAAAGACGAUGCCCAUAUAACUUUUGUCCUUACAAAACUUUAUAAUUAAGCUCCGGCAUAUGACAUGUACCGGUACUCACAAAAAGUACCAGUACUCCUCCAGCAGCUCAACAAUAAUAAUUUCUGAGGAACUUCAGUCUGAAUGCCGAAACUCAUUGAAGUUUCGAAAUUUGGCAUACACUAACUUUAAAGUCCCGACGUUUUCACGGUGAUAUCGAUCUGCAACAUGGUUUCUCAUAAUCCAACAUUAAUUAGAUACACGUCUUGAAUCCUAGAAAAAUAAUAAUAAAAGUACAAAAAAAAAAGGAGAAUUUUAUGCUAAAUAAUUUGGUCCAAAUACUAUUAAACGGAUAAGUAGGAAACCAAGUGAAAAGCCAUACUUUGAAAUGGUCAGACAUUCUAUCUCUUCUUCGUCUUUUCUCUCUCUAUCUCUUUUCUACUUUAUGGUUCAUGUCCUUUUUGAUGGAGAUGCUGACUCGGUCUUGUAAUAAUUUUUUUUAAAAAAAGAAGCACACAAUAUUCAACUUGAUUGGAGCCCUUAAAAGGAGCAUAGUCCUUGAUGAAAAACGCAUGCAAUGCAUGUACAACCUUAAACACCACCAAGUCAAGUGCCAAUUUAUUUAUUAUUUAUUUAGUUAAAUACCAUCCCCCACUUUUUCAAGCUCCGAGGCCUACUUAUUAUUGUUUGAAAAUGGUGAACAAAAGGAGACAAGAAAAUAAUAAAAUAUAUAAUUCAAAAAAGAACAACUUCAAUCCAGUGUCUUAGAAUGUUUAAUUUUUAGAUAAAUAUUUUAUUUACGAUGUCAAAUUUUAGUUGUUGGUGUAUCCACCCAACUAAGUCGAUAGAAAACGAACCCGAAUUAGUUUUAAAAAUCUUUUUAAAAAGAAAAGAUUUAUAGCUAGCACAGGAGGUAAACAAACAAAAAGACUUAUGAUUUAUAUCCAAGAUUAGUUUAUUCAUAUUUUUAAUUAAAAUUAUUUUUUUUAAAAAAAUAAACAAAAUAAACAAUAUGCUAUAUUUUUGCAAAAACAAAGGGCACUUAGGUAAGUGUGUUUUAAUAUAUAAAUUAUAAUAAUUAUAAUAAUAUGACAAUAAACAUAAAAAAGUGUACGUUUGCCCUUUCCACACGUUUGUAGAAAGUAAUGUGUACCCCUUAAAAGCCUCUCCAACAUGUUUCCGAGAAGCGAGACGGAAGGCAGCAAGGGAACUGUGUGUAAAAUACCAUGGGGGUAAGCCUCAAGUUGUUCUUGGGUAGGGAUGCAAACGGAUCCGGGUUGGUGGAGCUCCUAUCCCGAUUUGCCCCGACGGGGGCAGUAAAUGGUAAAAAAUAAACGCAUUCGGGGCAAAAAUUGGGGUAAAUUUUAUGAUUUGAGACAGAUUCAGGGCAGGAAAAGGGAGAAAUUUUGACAUACCUCAAAUCCGCCCCGAAUCAGUCCCGAAAAUUAUUUAUAUUUUAAAAAAUAUUUUUAAAAAAUUAUGUAUUUACAAAAAAGAUCAAAAUACAAGUAAGUUAGUACUCUCAUUUCUAAUGUAUUUGAAAAUUUUGAAUUUUGUUUUGAAUUGUGAUUGAUAUUUUUGAUUUUUAUAAUUGAUAUGGUUAAAUUAUAUAUAUAAUAUUAUUAAAAAUUAUUAAUUUAUAUUUUAAAAAAUAUUAAUAAUAUUAUAAUUUUAUAAAAAAUAUUAGUUGGCGGGGCGAAUUCGCGGCGCCGGCGGGACGUCAUGAAUUCUGUGCGGCAGACGGGGCGGGAUUUUUGCUAGUCGGGGCGGGAGGUGGGGCAGGGCUCCCGCCCCCAGAUCUGCCCAGUUUGCAUUCCUAUUCUUGGGUGAUUUAGCUAUAUUUACUUUACUAUAAUCUAGUUUCAAAAAUUACAUUAAUUUUUUUGUAGUAUUAUUUUAUUUUACAGCAGAAUCUAUCGUUAAGCAGAAUAAUAAAAUUAUAUUUUUGCAGACCACUGGUGAUACCGUGAUAGAGCAUAAUGCUUUAUUAUUAUUAUUAAAAAUAUAUAACAUUUAUCUGAACUAUCAACUAUUUUGAUUCGGCUGCACGACUUUUGAAAAUUUUGAUGUUACUAUUCAAUCUUUCAAUUUGUUUGAUUUGAGACAGUCAACGACAUCGUGAUUUCAAAUUUUAAGCUAAUUGCUUAUUUUAACAAAUUUAUAAUAAAAAAUUUUUAUAAAAUAUACUAAUUAAACCUGUAAAGAUAAAUAAAGCAUUUAAAUUUUAAAGUUAAAGUACUGCUGAUUGACUUAAAUCAAACAAAUUAAAAUAUUAGAUAGUAAAAUCAAAAUUUUAAAAGGUCGGAUAGCCAAUUCAUAAUGAUUUAUAGUUUAAAUAAAUUUUGCACAUUUUUCACCUUUUUUAUUCUAUAAUAUAUAGCUUACUAUUUUGCAAUUUGUAAAAGCUAUUAUUUAACUACGCCUAUUUAGCCAGUAGAACUUCACGGUUAAACGAAAAUAAAAUUAUAUGGUAACAAUGUAUAACAUUUUUAAACUAUACAGUAAUAAAGUAAAAAAUGUACUAUAUCUUAAGAAAGACAAAUUAAAAUUUACUCUGAAAUAAUAUGUUUAAUGUUAGAUAAUAAUCCACAUGUUGUUUGGUUCCGAAUAAUAACUAGAAUACCAAUAAUCCAAUACAUCCAACGAAAUUCGUGACCGAAAAAAAUUUAAAUUUUAUUAUAUUCGGCAGAAUAGCUGAUCAAAAUAAAUGUAAAUUUUAAUUAUAUUUGGUCAUUGGCGAUUGAUGUGAGGUGUUUUAUUUGGCAGGUAGUAUUGGAAGUGAAAUGAAACAGCUAAGUUCCUUGUAUCUACUGUUCCAAAAAGUUGCUCUAUUAAUUGUCCUUUUCUGAGAAUAAAAUGAUUAAAAAGUAAUACUGAAUCAUCAACUGAACUUAAUAAGGAUAGUUAAUUGACUAAAAAUUUGAUAGUUAGUAUUUGAAAUUUUAAGUUUAAAUUUUAGUUUUUUUUUUACCCUACUAAUUGAAUUUAUUUUUUUUUCAAAAAAGAAAGAAACGGAUAGCUUGCUAUCUGUCUCUUAAAAAUAGAAAAAUAUAUUGAAUACGUGGCUUAACAAUAACAGCAGCAGCAGCAGCAGCAGCAGUGACAACAACAGCACUAGUAAGAACCAUUUAAACUUUGAUCACUUAAGCUAUGUUAAAAUUUUAUAUGUGAGAAUAGUUUUCUAAGGAUCAAUAACAAAUUAGAGAAAGGGAAAGCACUAACAUAGGCAAAGACAAUUAAAAUUUUAUAUUAUUUUUAUUGGUCCUAGGUGACAUGUCCUAUUCUUGAGCUAAUGUAUAGUUUGAUAAUUUUGGCCCACUAGUGAUUUUUAUAAAUACAUCAGAGGCGUAUAAGAAGGUUUUAUUCUUUGCACUUAAAUUUUAGGAAAAACGUCCAAUACUCUCCUUGUGGUUUCACUUUUUCUCACUUUAGUAUAUAUCCUAUGAUUUAAAGUGUAUCAAGUUAUUACCUGUGAUUUUUUACUUUUUCACUUUAGUAUCUUGUGAUUUAAAGUUUAUCAAGUUAGUAUUCUGUGGUUUCGCACUUUAUCACUUUAGUACCCUGUGGUUUAAAAACCAUAUGGUACUAACUUGAUACAAAAAUAAAAUCACAGGGUACUAACUUGAAACAAAAAUAAAACCAUAGAGUACUAACUUGAUACACUUUAAACCACAGAGUACUAAAAUGAUAAAGUGAGAAACUAUAGGGUACUAACUUGAUACAUUUUAAACCAUAGGGUAUUAAAAUAAAAAAGUGCGAAACCACAUAGGGUUUUUUUAAAGUUUUCCCAAAAUUUAAAUUCAUGUUUUUCACUCGCCUCAAAUUGCUUAGCACUUACAGCUUGGAAGUGGUAAUCUGCCAAAAUCAUAAAUCAUAAUAGGAACUCCAAAUAGAUCUAAUACAAACAUACUUGUAAUGAAAAAAAAAAAGAAAAAAGAAAAGGUUAUGAACCCGCCGCUUCCUCUGUUUCAGGAUUGCUUUGAUACCAAUAUAUUAUGACAAAAACGGAAAGAAUCUAGUUCGUCGAGUAUAAAAAUAGUAAAAUUGAAUGGGAGAAGAAAAAUAAAAUAUAUAAAUAUUUAUAUAAUUUGACCACUGACCUACGUCCACAGAUGAAGAUGGAACAGAGACUUUUAUUAUAAUCAAAAUGGUGUAUAAAAUAUGACUUUUUUACAAAUUCCUAAUCUCAAAAUAUACUCCUAUUCUAUUUCAUCUGCCGGCUACCGCACUAAUACAGAAUAAAAAAUAUAUUUAUAAUUGCGGCUAAAUCCUAAUAUAACUAGAAAUACAAAUCCAACGAAAAUUAGCAAUAAUUUUAAUAAGAUUAAAAAUAAUCUGAACUUAACUUAAUAUGAUAAUCAAAAUAAAAUAGGAUUAGAAAAUCUUUCAAUUCUACAAUUUAAAAUAUAUCUAAUAAAAAAUAAAAACAAAAAUAUGAUUAGUUCUUUCUUAAUUGGCAACUCAGAACGGUCCAUUUACACACCCAAAAAUAUAACCAUAAAUUUUACAUACGUUCAUUCAAUUAAGGAUCAUUU
rnacentral:lncRNA from 1 species